UAUCUGUCUUGGGGAUUUUAUAAACGGAUUGAUGGUUUAGUAGAACUGCAUGGGAUUCCAGCGAUUCACAAAGUAACACAAAGCAGGAUCUGCGGAUGAUCAAGAUUAAGCUAGCAUAACCUCCAACGAAACUUAAACAGCAACAUUAACAUGAUGGCAAAAUUAUACAGUGGAGAUCAUGUUGACAACUCGGACCUGUAAUCACAGAUAAAGAUUCCUUCUGUGACAAUGGUAUCAUCCAAGAGGCAGCUAAGGAGAACAAAUAUGUACCGACAUUGUUCAUAUGAUAACAGUGAUGGUUUAUUAAUUGGAGCCCACCCACAGAAGUAAGACGAAGCAACAAAUCGCUGGAUUGCAGAACCAAAUCGACACCCAACAAGUUAUCUACGUGAAACAACACCAGCUUUCUGGAAACACUUCCAACGUGAACCAAUGGCGUGUCGGAAAUGGCCCUGGAUCUUGGCGGCAGUAUCGGUACCGGUUCUACCUGUCAACAAUCUCGCCUGAAAGUGGAAGUUGCUCACCGUCGAAAAGGGCGUGGCACACUUUAUAACUGAUUUCUCUCGUGUAGCUGGGACGACGGAAUCCAUACUUUCUACUACUGGAUCAAGUGGUUUAAGUGGUUAAAAGGAGAUAACACUUGGUCCACCGGUCGCGGAAGAAAUGAAAACGGAUGGCUAAAUUCCUCGACCGAUACUGCUAGUGAAGAUUGGCAUGCUUAUCACGAUUCUUCCUCCGAGUUCAAACCUGGAAGCCCGUGGAAGGCUACUCAAAUGAAAAUCGAGGAAGCUCCGUUCCUCACACCAGGAAGUAUUACUUUUACCUUUCGCCUGCAUCUACAUUUCUUCGGCAAUGAAUUCGAACUUGUUUGCCAAUAGCAGGAAGCCAUUCCCAAUUAAUUCGGUCAGCUUGUCCUCAUAUCGAACUCAAUUUCUAAGCUCGGUGGCAUGAAAAAUACUUCGAGGAGCCUUCGAAUUAUGGGGAACUGAUUUGUGCAGCGGCACUGGAGUCAGGUUUCGGAUCUAACGGAUAGCGUUGGACAAGGUAGCAACAAUAAGCCCGCUAGAGGUGGCGGUCCAGCAUGGUAUUUAACGGCAAUAUUGUUGAAAAAUUUGCCUGUCCGGAUAGCAUUUUCUAUAUUAUUAAAUUAAAUGAAUGCUGUUUGCAUUGUUGCCAUUCAUAGUACAUGCAGAUCAAUGGACCAACUCUCCGUACACUGUGCAUGCAGCAUGGUCCGUAUCAAAACUUCCACCUUUAACUGGGUAAGCAUAUCAUGGAAGGAUCGAUCCCGCGAGGAAGCCAAUAAGGUGCCUUGAACAAUUGCAGUAGGCAACACAACUAUCUGCGCUGAAUAUCCUACGGAUAGUGAAAUUCAAACUAUUUUGCAGCACAUUGGAGUUCUGGUAGGCUACAACAAUAAUAAAAUAAUAAUAACAUCAAAAGCAAUAUGGGCUCAGCGGGGUGAGAUGGAAGUGGCAACAGCAAUUCCUAGCGGUGGCGCAUCCGUGAUUCUCAGCAAUCGAAUGUUUAACGGAUACAAGAUACUGCCACGCUGCCACGACUGAUGUACCAAAACCGACGUAGUGG